rnacentral:rRNA from 1 species
AUUGAACGCUGGCGGAAUGCUUUACACAUGCAAGUCGAGCGGCAGCGCGGGGGGCAACCCUGGCGGCGAGCGGCGAACGGGUGAGUAACAUAUCGGAACGUACCCCGUCGUGGGGGAUAACACAGCGAAAGCUGUGCUAAUACCGCAUACGACCUGAGGGUGAAAGCGGGGGAUCGCAAGACCUCGCGCGAUGGGAGCGGCCGAUAUCGGAUUAGCUUGUUGGUGAGGUAAAGGCUCACCAAGGCGACGAUCCGUAGCUGGUCUGAGAGGACGACCAGCCACACUGGAACUGAGACACGGUCCAGACUCCUACGGGAGGCAGCAGUGGGGAAUUUUGGACAAUGGGGGGCAACCCUGAUCCAGCCAUUCCGCGUGAGUGAAGAAGGCCUUCGGGUUGUAAAGGCUCUUUCUAGCAGGAACGAAACGGU